AUUGAACGCUGGCGGCAUGCCUUACACAUGCAAGUCGAACGGCAGCACGGGAGCAAUCCUGGUGGCGAGUGGCGAACGGGUGAGUAAUACAUCGGAACGUGCCCAAUCGAUGGGGAUCACGUAGCGAAAGCUACGCUAAUACCGCAUACGAUCUACGGAUGAAAGUGGUGGAUAGCAAGACCGAGCGCGAAUGGAGCGGCCGAUGGCAGAUUAGGUAGUUGGUGAGGUAAAGGCUAACCAAGCCUGCGAUCUGUAGCUGGUCUGAGAGGACGACCAGCCACACUGGGACUGGGACACGGCCCAGACUCCUACGGGAGGCAGCAGUGGGGAAUUUUGGACAAUGGGCGCAAGCCUGAUCCAGCAAUGCCGCGUGCAGGAUGAAGGCCUUCGGGUUGUAAACUGCUUUUGUACGGAACGAAACGGUCCUUUCUAAUACAAGGGGCUAAUGACGGUACCGUAAGAAUAAGCACCGGCUAACUACGUGCCAGCCGCCGCGGUAA
rnacentral:rRNA from 1 species